ensembl:snoRNA
AUCCUUUUGUAGUUUGUAAGUGUGAUGAUUGGGUUUGCACAUGCAUGUUUGAGAUGUGCCUCCCUCAAACCUGUAUUAGUCCGUUUUCACACAGCUAUAAAGAACUACCUGAGA